rnacentral:rRNA from 1 species
AGUGAACGCUGGCGGUAGGCCUAACACAUGCAAGUCGAACGGCAGCACAGUAAGAGCUUGCUCUUACGGGUGGCGAGUGGCGGACGGGUGAGGAAUACAUCGGAAUCUACUUUUUCGUGGGGGAUAACGUAGGGAAACUUACGCUAAUACCGCAUACGACCUACGGGUGAAAGCAGUGGAUCUUCGGACCUUGCGCGAUUGAAUGAGCCGAUGUCGGAUUAGCUAGUUGGCGGGGUAAAGGCCCACCAAGGCGACGAUCCGUAGCUGGUCUGAGAGGAUGAUCAGCCACACUGGAACUGAGACACGGUCCAGACUCCUACGGGAGGCAGCAGUGGGGAAUAUUGGACAAUGGGCGCAAGCCUGAUCCAGCCAGACCGCGUGGGUGAAGAAGGCCUUCGGGUUGUAAAGACCUUUUGUUGGGAAAGAAAAGCAGCAGGUUAAUACCCCGCUGUUCUGACGGUACCCAAAGAAUAAGCACCGGCUAACUUCGUG